CACACAUCCGACCCUACUUAACGCCAGAUGCGACUAAGGUGCUGGUCCAUUCCACUGUCCUUUCUCGCCUUGACUACUGUAAUCCGCUUCUCAGUGAUCUUAUGUGCUCCUAACUUGCGCAGUUACAGUCCAUAAUGAAUGCGGCGGCGAGGUUCAUCUUCCUGUCCGCCUGCACCUCCCACGCCUCACCCUUCUGUCAGUCCC